GAUGAACGCUGGCGGCGUGCCUAAUACAUGCAAGUCGAGCGAACAGAUAAGGAGCUUGCUCCUUUGACGUUAGUGGCGGACGGGUGAGUAACACGUGGAUAACCUACCUAUAAGACUGGGAUAACUUCGGGAAACCGGAGCUAAUACCGGAUAACAUAUUGAACCGCAUGGUUCAAUAGUGAAAGGCGGCUUUGCUGUCACUUAUAGAUGGAUCCGCGCCGUAUUAGCUAGUUGGUAAGGUAACGGCUUACCAAGGCAACGAUACGUAGCCGACCUGAGAGGGUGAUCGGCCACACUGGAACUGAGACACGGUCCAGACUCCUACGGGAGGCAGCAGUAGGGAAUCUUCCGCAAUGGGCGAAAGCCUGACGGAGCAACGCCGCGUGAGUGAUGAAGGUCUUCGGAUCGUAAAACUCUGUUAUCAGGGAAGAACAAAUGUGUAAGCAACUGUGCACAUCUUGACGGUACCUGAUCAGAAAGCCACGGCUAACUACGUG
rnacentral:rRNA from 1 species